GCCUUCGUAGUGUAGUGGUCAGCACGCUGGACGCUUAUUCCUGAGGUCCUUGGUUCGAAUCCCGGCCAGGGCA